rnacentral:lncRNA from 1 species
AGUUAAUUUUUUCAAAUGGCGUUCAGUAAUUUUUUCCAAAUUAGAUAUGAGAGCCUUUACUCCCAACGGCAGUCGUUGAAGUUUUUAUUUUUUUAAAAAUAUUGGUUUAAAAAUAAAAUCUUUUUAAAAAAAAUUAAAGCUUUUUUUUUUAAAAAAAAUAAAUUUUAUUUAUAAAAAUUGUUCUUAAAUUAAUUAAUUUGGUUAAGAAAAGAGAAUAUUCCAAAAAAAAUUUGAACAAAAUAGAUAUAAUUAAGAAAGUUGAAUAUAAUUUAGUAAUUUUGGAAAAAUACUGCAGAUCCAACCUUUCCCUAUUCUUUCUCCUAAUAUACUUCUGUCUCCAACCCAACCCAACCCAACCCAACCAGUCGACAAAAAAUUUGGGGAUCUGACUUUAGAAACCUAAAAUUGAAGAGGCGUUUAGUGAUUGAUUCAAAAUCUGGUGGAUGGUCUUCCGUCGGUGCUCACGCUAAUCUAACCGGUGCUCCUAAUGACGCUUUCCUCAACUCUCAUGGCUACCGCGGCUUGUUUUCUCAGAUUGAGGUUCGUUUUUCUCUCUCAUUCAUCUUUUAUAAAUUUUACCAUAUAUACAUAUACUUAGCAUAAUUGAAUCCAGUAAUAGUAUUAAGGAAUGAAAGUGAGUUCUCAAAGCUUGGUGAUGUCCUGUAUUUAGAAGUUCCUAACUAAUUACAUAGAAUCUCACUUAAGCCUCCUGAUAAAUACUUGCUCCAUUAUUUUCCUCAAUGGAGUGUCAUAUUCGCCCUUUAUGCAGUGAAGGAUCCUUGAAACUUCUUAUUAGCUGAUAGUGUUAUAGGUCAAGCUCAAUGGAUGGGUAAUACCAUUAUAAUUUUUGUUCAUUGAGUAUUGUUGAAUUGAAUGUUAUAUGUUUUGUGUUGAUUUAAAGUACGCUAGAUUUGUAGAGUAUGCUCUGAUCCUCAAACUCGGCUAAGUUCAAAAGUUAAUUGCAAUUUAUUACCUAAAUCAACUAUAAUUGAUGGAAUUAUGUUCGAUGAUGCGGAUAGUACAAAUUAAUUAGAGAAAGAGGUUUAUAAGUUUCAGGGUAAGUCUACUGUUUCUAAAGUAGGUGCUCGCUAUAUCUAUUAUGACUGUUCUACCAUAACACUACCACUCCAUCUUUGCUAGGAAGAUUUAUUUAUCAACAUUAACUCUCAAACUGAAUCAUGCUAACAUUAUUUUAACACUUAACACAAUUAAUUAGAAUAUAGUUGAAAGUAACUUUCUAAACAUCAACUCCUUUGUGUUUUAUACACUGCAACUUAUGCUGGAUGUCUGAAUUUCAAUCUUCUCAAUGUAUUAAAUUAUUAGUCCUUGGACCAUUUAUGGUCUGCAUCACCUAAUAUUUUUAUUUUUGAUAGCUUGCAUCACCUAAUAUUAUAAUUAUAUUAGUUGGGAAUCAUGCAUUGAAUUGCUUUCUCCCCAGUUAGUUUAUUCCAACAACUUAAAUUUAAUCAGUGAUAAUGUAAUCAUUGUAGAAUGAAGAACCAAUUUUUUCUUUGUUAGGUGAUCCUUUUGGGCAAAGGUCAGGUUUCAGCAACCUCAUUCUGGCUGUAUUUGCAAAUGGAAUAGUGAAGAGCUGUAUGAAUUCCUUUUGUUACAAAUUGAACUAGUUGGCUACAUUUGGAAAUUGAACAAAAUGACAAUUGUUUGAGAUUAGUUCCAAGUGUAGACCCUUGGAGUAAUCUUGAUCUUAGCCUAAUAUACCUUAGGCCAUUCUGCUUACGUUGUUGGAAGCUAGAUGAGUUUAGGCCAACUAAUUUCAUAUUAAGUAAGCCUUAAAAUCAAGUCUUGAGCCUUAUUGUCUCGCAUUGGAUAACAUACACGAUCGUGCAGAUAAAGAGAGUUUGCAGAUAACUAAGGUUGUCUAUGUUUCUCAUGCUCUGCUGCGCCGCUAGUGUUUAUCGCUCGUGCGCUGACUGCCAAAAAGAAAAUCCACAAAUCUCGAGGCUCAUACCAUUACUAGUGAUAUCGUUCGAUGAUGAUGUUUUCUCUCUGAGGAAAUCGGGGUACAUUACAUUAUAUAGUAGUUUUUGAACCUUGAAACUUUGUUCACUAUUUUAUCCAAAUUGAUUAUUUUACACUUAAGGGUGUAUUGGGAUCUUGAUUCUUGUCUUAAAAUAUUCCAACAAACGGUUGUGAUUGCUGGUUUUUUGGGGUUGGUAAUUGGUUCCUCGCACCCGACCAUGCUUGUAAAUUUUUGUUUCUUUAGUUGAAUUUUGUGGUACCGUAGAAAAGCCCAUCAGUUUAUUGCCAAAAUUUGGGCUCUUUUUACUGUUACUCCAUUUUUUAAUGUUGAAGUGGUGGGAGUAGAGAAUUUGUCUUCACAGGAUACUCCUGUUGUAUAUGUGUCCAACCACCAGAGCUUUUUAGACACAUAUGUUCUUCUCACUCUGGGUAGUAGCUUUAAGUUCAUCAGCAAGACAUCAAUUUUUUUCUUUCCUGUUGUUGGAUGGGCCGUGUUUUUAAUGAGUGUUAUUCCUUUGAAGCGCAUGGACAGCAGAUGCCAAUUGGUAACUUGAUUCUUUCCCUUGAAAAUAUUAUUUCACCUUUGAUGCAAAAAAUUAAUCAGUUUGUUUAGGUUGGUUUGCCAUAUGGGAAAUUUAUAUUAUAGUACUUGUUCUAGUAAACUAUUGUUCUUCUCUUGAACUAUACAGGUUAUAUUUUUUGUCUGUAUGAAUGUAGCAAACUCUCAAACAAUGCAUGGAUCUUGUGAAGAAGGGAGGAUCUGUUUUUUCUUUCCAGAUCGGAGUAAAGAUGGAAAAUUAGGGGUAUUCAACGUGUGGUCUAUUGAUGGUUCUUACUCCCAACAUUACCAUAUGGUAUUACUUACGUAAAGGUAGUAGGAAAGUUUCAGAUGCUCGUGUGAUGAGGAUGUUUUUCUUCAUCUUCUGAACUACAUAGAGGAGCAUUUAUCUGAAGUUUAACUAUAAAAAAAUCACUUCUAUUUAUACCCUGCUAAAUUUAGUAUGUUCACACACUGCCUUUUGUACUAUAGUCUUAAUUGCAAUAGGGAUGGCCUAGAAAAUAUUUAUAUAGGAAGAAUUAUGGAUGUCCUCAAAAGAUUUGAUUUCAAACAAAAGGGUUGUGCUUAUAAAAUUUCUUUAAAGAUCUCUAUAUGUUGUUUUUACUUGCCCAAAAGCUUGCCUUUCUUAUUGUGGAUAAUGGUAGUAAGAAAUAUGAUCUAAUGAUGACCUUCGUUUUAUGCUUUGUAUAUAUAUUUUCUUUUAGUGAUCAAAAUAGGUUGAUCUUUUCAUCUUCCAUUCGUAAUAAGUAAUUGAAUAAUGCAGUUUGGGUAAAUUUAGCACGUUUUUUUUGACUUUGCUAUUAUUUUACUGACUUUGUUAUUAUUUUUAAAUAUGUGCAGGAAGACUGCUUCUACGACCUGCCUUACAAUAUUGGGUAUCAAAUUUUCGUGCUACGUUUACGGAAGACAAUGAACGAAAUUAUGAAGUGUACUCUCUCUAUAUAUGUAGAUAUAUACUUUAAUUGAAGAACUGUGGUAGCUUUAGAUGGUUAAUUGUAAAGAUAAUGAAUGAUUAUGUAGUGGGUGAUUUUAUUAAGUUAAUAAUAUUUUAGUUUUUUGUAUUUUUUC